rnacentral:rRNA from 2 species
GUUGCAAAGAACUUUGAAGAGAGAGUUCAAGAGUACGUGAAACCAUUGUGGAGUAAUCGGAUGGAGUGGAUUAUAUCGCUGACAUUCAUACUUCGCGUUGCUGCUUGGCGUGAUGCUUCGAGGCUGCUGUCUGUGCUUCGGUGUUGCGUUUGUGGCGGUGAGUGCGGUGUGCAUUUGUUGGUGAUAACGCGGAGACGCUCGCUAUCCUCUUCUGAACCUUUUAGUGUGGCCCUUGCUUCGGCUCGGUAACCUGCUAUUUGGGGAGGUUGGUAUGGGUGGUGAGUUGUAAGCAGGCUGGCCUUUGCGCUGGGUUCGUGGUGCUGCCGGCGUUGACGUUGCGAGCUGCUUCGCUCGUGGCUGAUGCGUUAGUGGUUGCUGCGUUCCUGGAGCGGCUGUCCUCUCCGUGGGAACGUCCAUUACCCAUUUGACCCGUCUUGAAACACGGACCAAGAAGUUUAGCAAGUGCGCGAGUCAAUGGGUUGUAAACCUACUGGCGAAAUGAAAGUAAAGGCUUGCUUGUCAGGCUGACAUGAGAUCCGUGCGUAAGCGCGGCGCAUCAUGGCCCCAUGCAGAUUGCUUGCAAUUGUGUGGCGGUAGAGCGUACUUG